AAAGAACCGACCCGAGCCCCUCGAUCCCCUUUCUUCGACCCGUGCCCGAACCCUAGCUAUUUUGUCGGCAGCUGUGGCGACGCAGGCGGCAGCGGCGGUCGGUGGGAGCGCAGCGCCGCAGCGGUCGGCGGCGCACAGCGGCGGCGGCGCACCAAGAUCUACUCUCUUGCUGCCGCAGAGCCCUGGCUCAUAGUAGAGUGGCGGCUGGAGACGAGAAGAAGCUCCAAAUCAAGGGCUGUGAGAUGGAUCCUCUAGAAUUUCUGCCCAUACGAUUUCAUUUCGGUGGUCACUUUGUGAACGAUGGGCAGUAUGUACACUAUGCUGAUGGCGUUGUCGGGAUGUCAUAUUUGGAGCGAGACAAAGUGUCACUGCCGGAGAUAGUUGGUUUUUUGAAGGAAGAUCAUUGGAAGGAUUUGAAGGAUGAUGAAGUGCAGUUCCACUGUCUAUAUCCUGGGAAAGAACUGCAUGAUGGGCUUGAUUUGUUGCAUGAUGAUGCGUCCUGUUUGCACAUGGUUUCUGCAAUCGAAGAGAAUGGAGUAGCUGAAGUAUAUGUAGAGAACAUUGCUGAAUAUCAUAUAUUGGCACGUGCUCUGCCAUCAGAUGAAGAAGAGGGUAAAAAUGAGCUGGAACAAAUUGUCCCACUGGAGCAAGUAACAACAGAAGUGGUACAGCAUCCGCGCCGGCAGCCGAAGAUGAUACAGAUGAAGAAGAUAGUGACUAUGUUCCUGGAGAUGAGAGUCCUUGGGAAGAAGAUGAAGAAGGAAUCGAGAUAAACAAGAAAUAUGUAGAGUACAAGAAGAAGAUGAAGCAAGGCAACACAGUGCACAACAGAGUGCACAACAAAGUAGACAACACAGUGCUACUGCACACAAGGAAAAUGUUGUGCCUUCUCAACAGAGUACCCGUGUUGCAGGAACAUCCAGAGGGACAAAGAGACCAGUACCCAUGUCCAAACCUCCUAAGCCUGCUGUCCAAGGGAAAGGGAACAAUAUUCAGAAGAACAAGUCCUCCUCAAAGGCUGCAAUGAAAGGUGUCACUGUCAAUGUGAGUUCUAGCUCAGGUGUCACUGUCAAAUGUGAAAUCAGGAAGUGCUAAUUCACAGUUCAAGGCGCCUGGAAGGGAGGCAAAAAGGACAAGGAAAUUACCCACAAGGCUGCUGGACUGAGUGUACUACUAUGUGUACUGUGAUGCCUCUGCUUAGACCUAUCUACGGUUUGUUUGUGUAAAACUAUGUAUGUUGUUAUGUCUCUGCUAAGACCUAUCUAAUUUGUUUGUGUGGAACUAUGUGUGCUCUUCUUUCUGUGUUAUGAACCUAUCAGAAUUUGUGUGGAACUAUGUGAUGUCCAAAAUUGUGUGAA